AAGGUUUUCGGAUCGUAAAACUCUGUUGUUAGGGAAAAACAAGUACCGUUCGAAUAGGGCGGAACCUUGACGGUACCUAACCAGAAAGCCACGGCUAACUACGUGCCAGCAGCCGCGGUAAUACGUAGGUGGCAAGCGUUGUCCGGAAUUAUUGGGCGUAAAGCGCGCGCAGGCGGUUUCUUAAGUCUGAUGUGAAAGCCCCCGGCUCAACCGGGGAGGGUCAUUGGAAACUGGGGAACUUGAGUGCAAAAGAGGAGAGUGGAAUUCCACGUGUAGCGGUGAAAUGCGUAAAGAUGUGGAGGAACACCAGUGGCGAAGGCGACUCUCUGGUCUGUAACUGACGCUGAGGCGCGAAAGCGUGGGGAGCGAACAGGAUUAGAUACCCUGGUAGUCCACGCCGUAAACGAUGAGUGCUAA
rnacentral:rRNA from 1 species